CCCCUAGACGUUCUGGGCUGCACGCGCGCUACAAUAAUACGCACAGCGAGUAUCACCGAGCUCGAAAGGGCAAGGUAAACAAUAGAAAAGGUACUGUAAUGGUUAUAGAUCCUUGUAAUUAUUGAUCUUCAACGAGGAAUUCCUAGUAAGUAUGUGUCAUCAUCACGCACUGAUUACGUCCCUGCCCUUUGUACACACCGCCCGUCGCUCCUACCGAUUGGGUGAGCCGAUGAAACUCUCGGAUGUAGGCUAUUCAUAGCUCGCAGAAGAGAUUUGAAUCGUAGCGCUUAGAGGAAGGAGAAGUCGUAACA
rnacentral:rRNA from 1 species